GUCCAAGGAAGCUGGAAGUGGCUCCAAUCAUCUCCCCUUCUUGGUAACAUCUCUAUGUGUUUCCGUAAUACUAAUAAUAAUAUAGCUGACCCACAAAAUGCACUUAACAUGUUUAUGCCACUGAUUUACACACUUUAAUAAUUUUUUUUUUUGAGACAGGGUCUCGCUAUGUCACCCAGACUGGAAUGCAAUGGCAGGAUCAUGGCUCACUGCAGCCUUGACCUCCCAGGAUCUAUGGAUUCACCUACCUCAGCCUCCUGAAUAGCUGGGACUAUAGGCACAUGCCACCAUGCCCAGCUAAUUUUUGCAUUUUUUGUAGAGAUGGAUUUUUGCCACAUUGCCCAGGCUGGGCUCAAACUCCUGGACUCACGUGAUCUGCCCGUGUUGGCCUCCUAAAGUGCUGGGAUUACAAGCAUGAGCCAUCAUGCCCAGCCAAUAAUUAUAAUCCUGACAAAAACCCUAAGAGGAAACUGAGGUACAGAGAGGUUAAGAAACUUAUGGAGCUCACAGAGUCAGUGGCAGAACCAGAAUUUGAACCCAGGCAUCUGGCUCCAGAGCCUUGAUAACAAGACAGUUUAAAAACUGAAUACUGGGGCUGGGCGCAGUGGCUCUUGCCUAUAAUACCAGCACUUUGGGAGGCCAAGGAAGGUGGAUCAUCUGAGGUAAGGAGCUCGAGAGCAGCCUGAUCAACAUGGUGAAACCCCAUCUCUACUAAAAAUAUAAAAAUUAGCGGGGCGUGGUGGUAGGCACCUUUAAUUCCAGCUACUUGGGAGGCUGAGGCAGGAGAAUCACUUGAACCCAGGAGGCGGAAGUUGCAGUGAGCCGAAAUCAUGCCAUUGCACUCCAGCCUGGGUGACAAGAACAAGACUCUGUCUUAAAAACAAAAACAAACAAACAAAACAGUAUUAGGCCAGGCGAGAUGGCUCACACCUAUAAUCCCAGCACUUUAGGAGACCAAGGCAGGUGGAUCACUUGAGGUCAAGAGUUUGAGACCAGCCUGGCCAACAUGGUGAAACCCCUUCUCCAUUAAAAAUACAAAAAUUAGCUGGAUAUGGUGGCACAAACCUGUAGUCCCAGCUACUUGGGAGGCUGAGACAGGAGAAUCGCUUGUACCCAGAAGGCAGAGGUUGCAGUGAGCCAAGAUCACACCACUGGACUCCAGCCUGGGCAACAGAGCAAGACUCCGUCUCAAAAAAAAAAAAGAGUACUGACUUGAGAUUUGUAUGUAAAAUUUGCCUUCCUCAGGCCAGAAAAGAAAUGGGGAAAUAAAUACUGAACUCCAGUCAAUGUUAAGCUUCUGAAGGGUUUAGAUGUAAAAUGUACUGAUAUUUGUAAUUUUAAAAGAUAUUUAAAAGUGAGAUGGAUUGAUAAAUAUGUGAUAAAGCAAAUAAAAAAUGUUAAUAGAGCCAGGUGCAGUGGCCCACUCCUGUAAUUCCAGCACUUUGGAAGGCUAAGGUGGAAAGAUUGCUUGAGACCAGGAGUUCAAAAUCAGCCUGGGCAACAUAGUAAGACCCCAUUUCUACAAAGCCUCAUGUGGUAGCUGGUGUCUGUAGUCCUAGCUACUCAGAAGGCUAAGGUGGGAGGACCUCUGAGCCCAGGAAUUCAAGGCUGCAGUGAGCUAUGAUUUCACCACUGCACUUCAGGCUGAGUGACAGAGUGAGACCCCAUCUCAAAAACAAAACAAAACAAAAAAUGUUAAUAGUAGCAUCUAGGUGGUAAGAAUAUGUUCACUGUACAAUUAUUCUCAUUUCACCCUAUGUUUGCACUUUUUAAUAAUAAAAUGUAAAAAAAACAAAACAAACAAACAAAAAACCCUGAAUAUUAUUCAGCAUGGGGAACAUGGA
rnacentral:lncRNA from 10 species